rnacentral:rRNA from 1 species
UGGGGAAUCUUGCACAAUGGGGGAAACCCUGAUGCAGCGACGCCGCGUGAACGAUGAAGCCCUUCGGGGUGUAAAGUUCUUUCGACAGGAACGAUAAUGACGGUACCUGGAGAAGAAGCUGCGGCUAACUACGUGCCAGCAGCCGCGGUAAUACGUAGGCAGCAAGCGUUGUUCGGAGUUACUGGGCGUAAAGAGUGCGUAGGCGGUUUUCUAAGUUCGGUGUGAAAUCUCCCGGCUUAACUGGGAGGGUGCGCCGAAGACUGGGAAGCUGGAGUGUGGGAAAGGCAGGCGGAAUUCCUGGUGUAGCGGUGAAAUGCGCAGAUAUCAGGAGGAACACCGGCGGUGUAGACGGCUUGCUAGACCAUAACUGACGCUGAGGCACGAAAGCGUGGGUAGCAAACA